rnacentral:rRNA from 1 species
CAGCAGCCGGCGGUAAUACGGAGGGUGCAAGCGUUAAUCGGAAUUACUGGGCGUAAAGCGCACGCAGGCGGUCUGACAAGUCAGAUGUGAAAUCCCCGGGCUUAACCUGGGAACUGCAUUUGAAACUGUCAGGCUGGAGUCUUGUAGAGGGGGGUGGAAUUCCAGGUGUAGCGGUGAAAUGCGUAGAGAUCUGGAGGAAUACCGGUGGCGAAGGCGGCCCCCUGGACAAAGACUGACGCUCAGGUGCGAAAGCGUGGGGAGCAAACAGGAUUAGAUACCCGUGUAGUCCCUGUCUCUUAUA